AUUGAUUAAAUAGGCACAUAAUCACAAUUAUAAAUAUUUGCAAAUGGAUGGAAGAAUUUAACGGUUUAACAAGCCCACCGAGUCGUUGUUUAAAACAACAAGUCUGACAUGGAGAUCAAAGGUCAUUUCAAGCUUUACAUAUUUAAAGGAACACCGUCCGUAACAGACGGAAAACCAGCCUAGUUAAUAUAUCCUUGUCCGUCUGCCCGUCCGUAGGAACGUCGACUUCUCGGGAACUAGAGGGUUAGGACAUGCAGACUCUAGUAAUGCCUACGUUGCGUUUUAUAAAUUUGUUCACUUAGGUAACUAUAAAUAUGUGCUCGUUAAGGUUAGGUCAUUGCUCAAGAGGACACUGAGGGAUUCUGCAUUUCGGGCCUGUUACAUCGCCAAAAAAACUUCUAGUUUAAGUGUAAAUUGAUAAGUAAUUAGAAAAUGACUCAAAGAUAA